rnacentral:rRNA from 1 species
UGGGGAAUAUUGCACAAUGGGGGAAACCCUGAUGCAGCAACGCCGCGUGAGUGAUGACGGCCUUCGGGUUGAAAAGCUCUGUCUUCAGGGACGAUAAUGACGGUACCUGAGGAGGAAGCCACGGCUAACUACGUGCCAGCAGCCGCGGUAAUACGGAGGGUGCAAGCGUUAUUCGGAAUUACUGGGCGUAAAGCGCGUGUAGGCGGCUUGGAAAGUCAGAUGUGAAAGCUUCGGGCUUAACCCGGAAAGUGCAUUUGAAACUCCCUAGCUUGAGUCCCGGAGAGGAAGGUGGAAUUCCCAGUGUAGAGGUGAAAUUCGUAGAUAUUGGGAGGAACACCAGUGGCGAAGGCGUCUCACCAGAACGGACCUGACGGCAAGGGACGAAAGCUAGGGGCACGAACC